rnacentral:lncRNA from 1 species
UUGGAGUUUGAGUGAUCACUCUUUCAAGGCCAAUAAUCGAAAAGUGUAAUUCCCUUAUGGCAGAAGACAGAAGGUUCUAAAAAAGACUGAUUCUUUGUUGUGUUUGAUUACUUAAAAAAGUUGUGUAUGACUAAAGCUGAAGUGGUUUGAGAGCAGAAUUUGAAUUGCUGCUGCUUUAUUACUAUUACUUAUUGCAAACACAAGAACGGGCACGAUACAAAAAUUCCACGAUAAAUAGAAAAGCAAUCAUACACGGCCAUAUUAAUCUAUGAACAAAUAAAUUAAAGAGAUGACUAAGAGUGGACUGUACUUUUAACUUGGCAUUUACACUUUAAAUCUCUCUUCCUUGUUUUGAUUUGUCCGUCACUUGAACACAAUAAGAUCAGGACGUGCAAGAUGGCCAUCAAACAAAUAGAAUCAAGCGGGUCUGAAUCACAGAUAUUGUAGCUCGGAGAUGACACCUUCAGACUUUUAUUCAAAGAACUUGGAUAGGAAGAUAGAUAUUUCACUUCACUCCAAAUGGAGCUUGCAUUUAUUCCUCGAAGAAAACUACAACCUGAAAAUGAAUUCCAUAGAAAUUUCCAUUACUAAAGUUCAUUCAUGUAUAUAUAAUUCUGAUUUUACUUUUGAAAAUGUAUAAGGUUGGUUAACUUACAUGAUUUAUCGUGAAUGGUGCUUCCGCAGUCUGAGCUUACUUGUAGAUAGGUGGAGGUGGGGAAGCAUAGACGUAAGCUGGAGGCGGAGGUGAUUUGUAAAUGUACUUUGGAGCGGGAGCUGGGGAGGGAGGAGGUGGUGAUUUGUAAUGGUAUGGUGGAGGUGGAGAUGGAGAAGGUGGUGGAGGGCUCACGUAGUGGUAAGGAGGUGAAGGAUACGACGUUGGUGGUGGAGGGGAUUUGUAGUAGUAGGGAUGAUGAGGAGUGGGAGAUGGUGGAGGAGGACUUUUAUAGUAAUAAGGAGGUGGUGGAGAUGGGGACGGGGGUGGAGGGGAUUUGUAGUAAUAUGGAGGUGGUGGUGAUGGGGAUGGUGGUGGUGGUGAGUGGUAGUAGUAGGGAGGGUGUGUGCUCUCUUUAGGUGGAGGUGGGGAGUGAUAGUAGUAAGGUGGUGGAGGGGAUGGUGAAGGUGGUGGGGGAGAUUUAUAGUAGUAUGGAGGAGGAGGGGAUGGUGAAGGUGGGGGUGGAGAUUUAUAGUAGUACGGAGGGGGAGGAGAGGGUGAUGGUGGAGGUGGAGAUUUAUAGUAGUACGGAGGGGGAGGAGAGGGUGAUGGUGGAGGUGGAGAUUUAUAGUAGUAUGGAGGCUUAUAAACCGGUGAGGGUGGAGGUGGGGAGUGGUAGUAGUAUGGAGGGGGAGGUGAGGGGGAUGGUGGAGGGGGAGAGUGGUAGUAGUAUGGAGGGGGAGGUGAAGGGGAUGGUGGAGGUGGAGAGUGGUAGUAGUAUGGAGGUUUAGGCUUUGGUGAUGGUGGGGGUGGAGAUUGGUAGUAGUAUGGAGGCUUUGGCACCGGUGAUGGUGGAGGUGGAGAGUGGUAGUAGUAUGGAGGUGGAGGAGAGGGAGAUGGAGGAGGUGGAGAGUGGUAGUAGUAUGGAGGCUUAGGUUUUGGUGAUGGAGGGGGUGGUGAUUGGUAGUAGUAAGGAGGCUUUGGCACCGGUGAUGGUGGAGGUGGAGAGUGGUAGUAGUACGGAGGCUUAGGUUUUGGUGAUGGGGGAGGUGGAGAUUGGUAGUAGUAUGGAGGCUUUGGUACUGGUGAUGGAGGAGGUGGAGAGUGGUAGUAGUAUGGAGGUUGAGGUUUUGGUGAUGGUGGAGGUGGAGACUUAUAAUAAUAGGGAGGUGACUUGACGGGUGGUGGUGGUGACUUGUAAACAUAAGUUGGUGAUGGUGGUGGUGGUGAUUUGUAUACGUAAACUGGAGAGGGAGGAGGAGGUGAGUUGUAAUAGUAUGGUGUUGGUGAAGGCUUAUAAGGCUUCUUGUCACAGUCCUUGAAGUGCUUCUUUGAAGCAUAAGCAAAUGGCUUAGCCUUGAGCACAACUUCAUAUUUAUCUUUUGAUUUCACCUUCAAUGGAGUUCCCUCGUUCAGCUUGGUAGGUAUGUUGAAGGGAGAGUCCUUAGGUGGAGCAUGAAGGUGGGCCUUGCAGACUACUGAUCCAUAUUUCACAUAGUCAAAGUCCUUAACUGUGAUACUGUAUUUUCCAUUGCUCUUAGUUUCACCAUAAGCCUUUAUGAUGUUUCUUCCUGCUUUGCAUUUAACCUCCACAAUAGCACCUACAUUUACCCAAAAUGCUUCAUUA